AACGAACGCUGGCGGCAGGCUUAACACAUGCAAGUCGAGCGCCCCGCAAGGGGAGCGGCAGACGGGUGAGUAACGCGUGGGAACGUACCUUUUGGUUCGGAACAACUCCGGGAAACUGGAGCUAAUACCGGAUAAGCCCUAACGGGGAAAGAUUUAUCGCCGAAAGAUCGGCCCGCGUCUGAUUAGCUAGUUGGUGAGGUAACGGCGCACCAAGGCGACGACCAGUAGCUGGUCUGAGAGGAUGAACAGCCACACUGGGACUGAGACACGGUCCAGAAUCCUACGGGAGGCAGCAGUGGGGAAUAUUGGACAAUGGGCGGAAGCCUGAUCCAGCCAUGCCGCGUGAGUGAUGAAGGCCUUAGGGUUGUAAAGCUCUUUUGUCCGGGAAGAUAAUGACUGUACCGGAAGAAUAAGCCCCGGCUAACUUCGUG
rnacentral:rRNA from 1 species